CAGGCUUAACACAUGCAAGUCGAGGGGCAGCAUGGUCUUAGCUUGCUAAGGCCGAUGGCGACCGGCGCACGGGUGAGUAACACGUAUCCAACCUGCCGUCUACUCUUGGACAGCCUUCUGAAAGGAAGAUUAAUACAAGAUGGCAUCAUGAGUCCACAUGUUCACAUGAUUAAAGGUAUUCCGGUAGACGAUGGGGAUGCGUUCCAUUAGAUAGUAGGCGGGGUAACGGCCCACCUAGUCUUCGAUGGAUAGGGGUUCUGAGAGGAAGGUCCCCCACAUUGGAACUGAGACACGGUCCAAACUCCUACGGGAGGCAGCAGUGAGGAAUAUUGGUCAAUGGGCGAGAGCCUGAACCAGCCAAGUAGCGUGAAGGAUGACUGCCCUAUGGGUUGUAAACUUCUUUUAUAAAGGAAUAAAGUCGGGUAUGGAUACCCGUUUGCAUGUACUUUAUGAAUAAGGAUCGGCUAACUCCGUGCCAGCAGCCGCGGUAAUACGGAGGAUCCGAGCGUUAUCCGGAUUUAUUGGGUUUAAAGGGAGCGUAGAUGGAUGUUUAAGUCAGUUGUGAAAGUUUGCGGCUCAACCGUAAAAUUGCAGUUGAUACUGGCUAUCUUGAGUGCAGUUGAGGCAGGCGGAAUUCGUGGUGUAGCGGUGAAAUGCUUAGAUAUCACGAAGAACUCCGAUUGCGAAGGCAGCCUGCUAAGCUGCAACUGACAUUGAGGCUCGAAAGUGUGGGUAUCAAACAGGAUUAGAUACCCUGGUAGUCCACACGGUAAACGAUGAAUACUCGCUGUUUGCGAUAUACAGCAAGCGGCCAAGCGAAAGCGUUAAGUAUUCCACCUGGGGAGUACGCCGGCAACGGUGAAACUCAAAGGAAUUGACGGGGGCCCGCACAAGCGGAGGAACAUGUGGUUUAAUUCGAUGAUACGCGAGGAACCUUACCCGGGCUUAAAUUGCAGAUGAAUUACGGUGAAAGCCGUAAGCCGCAAGGCAUCUGUGAAGGUGCUGCAUGGUUGUCGUCAGCUCGUGCCGUGAGGUGUCGGCUUAAGUGCCAUAACGAGCGCAACCCUUGUUGUCAGUUACUAACAGGUUCCGCUGAGGACUCUGACAAGACUGCCAUCGUAAGAUGUGAGGAAGGUGGGGAUGACGUCAAAUCAGCACGGCCCUUACGUCCGGGGCUACACACGUGUUACAAUGGGGGGUACAGAGGGCCGCUACCACGCGAGUGGAUGCCAAUCCCAAAAACCUCUCUCAGUUCGGACUGGAGUCUGCAACCCGACUCCACGAAGCUGGAUUCGCUAGUAAUCGCGCAUCAGCCACGGCGCGGUGAAUACGUUCCCGGGCCUUGUACACACCGCCCGUCAAGCCAUGGGAGCCGGGGGUACCUGAAGUGCGUAACCGCGAGGAGCGCCCUAGGGUAAAACUGGUGACUGGGGCUAAGUC
rnacentral:rRNA from 1 species